AUUCAGCUGACCAGUCCCACAUUAAGCGAAACGCGCGUCUUGGAU
rfam:Schistosoma margrebowiei strain Zambia genome assembly, scaffold: SMRZ_scaffold0001211